GUGUCCGAACAGUCUGUGGUUGGUUAGCUGCUUCCAGCUAAUGACAGGUGCUGAAUCAGGUUCAUUGGGAACAUUUCCAUGAAUGGGAAAGGGGGAGUUACAACAUUGCCCCUCCCAAGCCAACAGAAUGCAGAAAGUACAAGGAGCCUUCUGCCCCUCUGCCUCUCUCGACCCCUGCUAACGGAUGACGCAGCAGAAAUCGACUGGCAGCUCGAAACCGGGCUGGGUGACUUUAAAAAUGGCUUCAAGAAGUCACCUACUGAAACUUCUGCUGCAAGCAGCAGCCUGAGGAUGUGGUUAGGCUGCCCUGUAUCUCACCAGCAGGGCUAUUAAAUGCUAUUUGCUGCAUUGGAGAUAUAAUUAAUGGGAAAGCAGUGAAGAACUGAAAAGUCAAAAACUUUCAGCUCAAGAUGUUACUUACAAAACAGCCUUUGAGUCAUGCCACAUGAUGUUACACAGACUGGAGUCAGGGAUAAAAGAUCAUUACUGUAUUAGGUAAUAAAUACGCUUCCAACUUCUUAUGUCAUGUUGAAGAGGCAUUUGCUCCUCAGCACGAGCUUGGUAUAUAUCCUGUCAUUUUCUUGUAUUUUGUUAGAUAUAUGAUUUUUCUUCUUGUAUAAGUC